rnacentral:rRNA from 1 species
CGCUAAUACCGCAUACGACCUACGGGAGAAAGGGGGCAACUUGUUGCUCUCGCUAUUAGAUGAGCCUAAGUCGGAUUAGCUAGUUGGUGGGGUAAAGGCCUACCAAGGCGACGAUCUGUAGCUGGUCUGAGAGGAUGAUCAGCCACACCGGGACUGAGACACGGCCCGGACUCCUACGGGAGGCAGCAGUGGGGAAUAUUGGACAACGGGGGCAACCCUGAUCCAGCCAUGCCGCGUGUGUGAAGAAGGCCUUUUGGUUGUAAAGCACUUUAAGCAGUGAAGAAGACCUAACGGUUAAUACCCGUUAGCGAUGACAUUAGCUGCAGAAUAAGCACCGGCUAACUCUGUGCCAGCAGCCGCGGUAAUACAGAGGGUGCAAGCGUUAAUCGGAAUUACUGGGCGUAAAGCGAGCGUAGGUGGCUUGAUAAGUCAGAUGUGAAAUCCCCGGGCUUAACCUGGGAACUGCAUCUGAUACUGUUAGGCUAGAAUAGGUGAGAGGAAGGUAGAAUUCCAGGUGUAGCGGUGAAAUGCGUAGAGAUCUGGAGGAAUACCAAUGGCGAAGGCAGCCUUCUGGCAUCAUAUUGACACUGAGGUUCGAAAGCGUGGGUAGCAAACAGGAUUAGAUACCCUGGUAGUCCACGCCGA